AUAGUCUCCGCUCUGCGGCACUCGUCUGUUAUCAGCUCCUCCACGCUGCAGAAAGUGUCGGAGCACGUGUGUCGCUCCAGCGGCCGCCCGCAGUGCCACUGUGAGCUCGUUCCCUUGCAGUUCGUAUUUGGUCCCGAGCAGUCGCUGGAAAAGUUUCAAGAGGUUUGAACUCAUGCGAUGACCUCUAUUAUUGGUGAUAAGACUCUCCAGGAAAGGUCAGAAACGAGAUCAUGUUCUGCCCUGCUGUUUAAUAACACGUCUCUGCUUCCUCGCUGCAGGAGUUCAAGAGGUUAUCGCUUCCUGGUUACCUGCUGAACGCCGAGCAGCACAACUUCCACUACGUCUCACUGAGUCGCCAGCAGUCUCACAGGCUUCAGGCCGUGACACAGCUGUCUAACAUCACUGCUCAGUACUUAACGGCUGCAGGAACAGUGUCUCGGCAGAGCAGCCUGUGUCCUGAGGUGGAGGACGGAGCCAGAGCAUCAGCAAACAGAGAAGCAGAGUCCAAGAAAAAAGAGCCCGACACUGAGCUGGUGGAGUGUGGAGAAGUGCAGAGGGCUGAUGAGGACACGCGGCCUGCUGCAGCUGAUUCAGCCAGCGAGUCUCUCUCCGAGACCUCUGACCCCGGGCAGCUCAAACAGGCCGACGCGGAGGAGACUCGACCUCAGAGUGACGCUCACCUGCAGGCGGGCAGCAGCAGCACCGAGCGCUCAUCUGAUCACACGUCGCCUCCCAAAACCCCCUCCGCCGCCAGCCUGGCCGAGUCCGUGCAGUCCACCACACACAGCAGUGGGAAACUGCGGCCCAGUCGAGUUCAGAGCGUC
rnacentral:lncRNA from 1 species